rnacentral:rRNA from 1 species
UCUUUCUAGUAAUAAUUAGACUAGAAUAGGCAGCGAACUGAAACAUCCAAGUAGCUUUUGGUAGUAAUAUAAUCAAAUGAGUUGAUGUUAGUAAUGGUGAGUGAAAACAUUUGUUGGAGAGUCU